rnacentral:ncRNA from 2 species
AAACCAUCAAGAGAGAUUGAGGGACAGGCCCGUUGAGAUCUCAGCAACCUACGUAAAAUGUGUGGUGCUAAUUCCUGAUAGAUGGAAA